rnacentral:lncRNA from 1 species
CAAGAGCACUAGAGGCUCCAUAAGAACACAUAGGGAGUUGCCUUAAGCAAUUUAAUUCAUCCCAAAGUUUCUUCAGCUUUAUAAAAUAGACAACAUGCAUUUUUCCUUAAGAAAAUAAACUGAUCUCCCUCGUAAUUUGGUAUAGACAUGGUCCAUUUGGUCUCACCAAAACGUUGAGCCAUUUCUUCCCAUAAUGUCUGUGCAAAGUCUGUGAACAAAAAAGCUUCCACUAUCUCUUUGGAUAUGGAGUUUAAAACCCAUGACACAACCAUUGAAUCAACUCUUAACCACUUCUCAUAUUAUGAUGAGUUGUUGUUAGGUUUUGAAAAAUUGCCAUCAAUGAAUCCUAUUUUAUUCUUAGCUCUCAAUGUUAUAAUCACGGACCUGCUCCAUGAAAGGUAAUUCAAUCCAGUUAAGGGAGAACUUACAAGAGUCAAGAGUCAUCUGAUAUGAGUUUUGCAGUGCUAGUAUUUCUUCAUCGCUGCCAGUAACUCCUCCAAUUCUAGUUCUGCUGGUCAUGGCUUCAUCUACAAGAGUCAUCUUGAAUCAGGAUCAAGCAAUCGCGGUCCACAAGAUCGUUUACCACUCUAAACCAUGAAAAAUUGAAAUUGCAUUCUCAAAUAUGCUCUAAUGGAGAUUAGAAUUCUAUCAAGAACAAAUUUGGG